GUAUGGACCCGCUCAAAAUAUCAAAGAAAUUGAGAACAUAUGAAAAGAAUUUCAACUACUUCACUAAAAGCAGAGAUCUUGGUACAUGGACAAUCUGUACAGCAGUUGGGUAUCCUCUGCAAAAUGAUUUUAGCUCAUGUGGUGUUUAUUGUUUGAAGUUCCUCGACCGAUACCUAAGUAAGACAGAUACAUCUUUGGAAUUAAACGU